rnacentral:rRNA from 1 species
AUUGAACGCUGGCGGCAUGCCUUACACAUGCAAGUCGAACGGCAGCACGGGAGCAAUCCUGGUGGCGAGUGGCGAACGGGUGAGUAAUAUAUCGGAACGUGCCCAGUCGUGGGGGAUAACGUAGCGAAAGCUACGCUAAUACCGCAUACGAUCUAUGGAUGAAAGCGGGGGAUCGCAAGACCUCGCGCGAUUGGAGCGGCCGAUAUCAGAUUAGGUAGUUGGUGGGGUAAAGGCUCACCAAGCCGACGAUCUGUAGAUGGUCUGAGAGGACGACCAGCCAAACGGGGACUGAGACACGGCCCAGACUCCUACGGGAGGCAGCAGUGGGGAAUUUUGGACAAUGGGCGCAAGCCUGAUCCAGCAAUGCCGCGUGCAGGAUGAAGGCCUUCGGGUUGUAAACUGCUUUUGUACGGAGCGAAAAGGCUUCCACUAAUACUGGGGGCUCAUGACGGUACCGUAAGAAUAAGCACCGGCUAACUACGUGCCAGCAGCCGCCGUAAUAC